CCCUUAGAUGUUCUGGGCUGCACGCGCGCUACACUGACGUACGCAACGAGUGUCCUUUACCGAGAGGUAUGGGUAAUCAUUUGAGUGUACGUCGUGAUGGGGAUAGAAUAUUGUAAUUAUUACUCUUCAACGAGGAAUUCCUAGUAAGCGCAAGUCAGCAGCUUGCGCUGAUUACGUCCCUGCCCUUUGUACACACCGCCCGUCGCUCCUACCGAUGGGUGAUCCGGUGAAUGAUUCGGACUCGGUUGCCUCUAGUCACUAGUGGCGCUCGAGAAAGUUUUGUGAACCUUAUCACUUGGAGGAAGGAGAAGUCGUAACA
rnacentral:rRNA from 1 species